ensembl:lncRNA
CCCGCCCUCCGCCCGACCUUGGUAAUGAGCCAGCGGUCCCGCCUCCUCAUGAAUAAUGCACGACCGCGAGGGAGGGGAUGCGCGCGUACCGCCGAACGACGCGCACUGAAGGUGGGCGCUACCAUUUAAAGGGCGCGGGGAGAGGUGACGGCCUUUAAGCGACGCCCCGAAGAUCCGCUGGCCUUUUGCUGGCCUUCGACGACGCAGCCAUCCUGAAGCGGAAAACAACCGAAAUGGAACCAUUUUAUUGUGUUCGCGGCAGCUGGUGCGACCGGCUCUUCCUUCCGCGGAGGGAGGUCUGAUGAAAGGAUGCGUUUUUCAUUGCUAUUUGUUGUAUGUAAGAGAAAUUGGCAUCUGCGCAUAGAACACCGGACAGAUGUUUGCAAAGAGGUCUCAACAAGGAGUCCAAGAUCCUUCCUGGAGUGAUUAUUUAUAAUUUAUCACAGUGUUUGUGCAAUUAGGGUGUUUUUUCCCCCCACGUGUAUUCCUGUGCGUCUAUCGAUAAUAAAUGAUGCGUGGUUUUAUGUUGCUGAAUCACUCAGCAUUCAGUAUGACGAUGCCUUUUGAAGUAUUGACUGUUCUAAGCGAUUUCCAUCAUCAGCAAACUUAGCUGCCUCGUUAUUAAUCCCCUCUUCCAGAUCGUUUGUGAAUGUAGUGAAGAGAACAAGUUCAAGUGCAGAUCCCUGAUCUCUUCUCUCCCAUGGUGAAAACAAUUUAUUACUACACUUCAACAAAUCAUUAAUCUACCAAAGAAUUUCCAUCCUUAUGAUAACUCAGUUUCUUUAAGAGCUUUUAGAGAGAGAGAUGUUGUCAAAACACUUUGACUUCUGGAAAUCCAAGAGCAUUACAGCAAUCCGCAUUCACCACCAUGCUGACUGCUUUCAGGAACUGUACCAUCGUCCAUUUCAUCAGCCCACAGCAGGCUGUAAACCCUACAUUUGGUCAGGUUUCUUCUUCCGCAGAUGUGACGUUAUUUGUGUACUAAAAAUAGUGGCGAGCGCUUUCAUUACUUGUACAAAGGCUUCUAGCAGUUAGUGACAGUUUCUAAGUGAACUUAUUGCUAUGCUGCCAGAAACUCCAGAGCGAGGUACAGAUUUCCAUUGACCCCGAAUGCAGCAUGGUUUCUUUGUGAUAGAAGUCUUCUAUUUAUUUUCCAUAAAUGACAUAUCCCUGAAGCAACGGUGAGGGAAUGAAAGUUGCAUUUUAUCACUGUAACAUUUGCAGAAAAGUGAACUGCUAAACUCCCUAUUCAUAAUGAAACUUCGACUGGCCGCGAGUUCUUAAAAAGCUUACCUGCAGGUGCACAGCUUUUUUUUUUUUCCCCCUUAAAAAUUUAUAUCUGAGCCUUAUGAACUUCUGAUUAAACUUUUAAAAUAAAUUAAGGGUGAGAGGAUUAGACAGGGAAUUGGAAAUGAACUGUGGUAUCUUUUGCCUCUAGCUCAGCAUUUUGAAGGCAGCCCAAAUGAGAUGUGACAAAGUGCAGUGCUCUCGUUUCUUUCUGCUGACCUACGUGCAAGUGGAGUUUGGUCUCUGCCAAGUUCUUUGUGUGAACAGCCACGUCACCGUCACUGCUAGUCUAAUUAGCAGUAAUUAGACCUUUGUUGGAAUUUAAAAUAAAUAGGCCAUGAUUUGGAUAUCACAGUGACUAAAUUAUCCACUUAGAUGAUCCCCUCUGUGGGUGAACAGCCUGCUGCUCCCAGCCCUCCCUUUUCCACAGAGUGACAGCAGUUACAAAGAUCUGAUUUAAAUGACGAAUACGUCCAGCUUGUGUUUUGCAGAAUGCCGUGUCCUGUUUGAAAUAGAAACUGUAAAAUCCUGCAGGACAGUCCCUGAGUGAGACUAAUAAAG